rnacentral:rRNA from 1 species
AUGAGUUGUUUUAAGCUAACGAAGAAGAUCUACAAAAGUUUCUCAUCAAACAUGGCUCGAUAUUGGUGGAGCAGCUCAGUGGAUCGCAGGUCUCUACACUGGAUCGAUUGGGAGUCUCUGACCAAACCAAAGAGUGCGGGCGGGAUGGGUUUCAGGAAGUUGGAUUUGUUCAACCUAGCUCUUCUAGGCAAACACAGCUGGAUGCUUAUAACGAACCCAGAAUCCUUGUGCGCGCGCGUUUUGAAGGGAAAAUACUUUCCAACAAGUGAGUUCGUGGAUGCAACAGUACCUAAACAUGCGCCAGCCACUUGGAGGGCAAUAGUUGCAGGGGGGCAGGCUUUGGAAACUGGCUUGGUGAGAAGAAUUGGAGAUGGUUCGUCUGUGUCCACAUGGAAUGAUAGCUGGAUACCAGACCUCCUCUCGUUGCGACCGUCAUUUCAAAUCGGUAAUGCUAAUAUUCCUUUUGUGGCAGAUCUGAUUGAUGCUGAGACGAGAUCAUGGAAGAUUGAAUUGGUAAGACAAAAUUUUAUAGCCCCAGAAGCUGACGCUAUUCUUAACAUCCCUUUGGGGGUUGGAGGAGGGGUUGAUUCAUGGGCUUGGGCCGCUGAAAAGUCCGGAAACUACACUGUAAAAUCCGCGUACCGCGCUCUUGUGAACCAGAACGAGCAUUCAGCUCUAGGGGAAGGGACGGUUACAGAAUCUUCAGAGAAUCAAAAACAGUGUUGGUCCAGACUUUGGAAGCUCAAGGUCGUGCCAAAAGUUCGUGUGUUUUGGUGGCGAGUGCUACGGAAAAUCCUACCUGUUGAGAGCACUCUGAAAUACAAACACAUUACUCAGUUGGCACGCUGCAAAGUCUGCCUUGAUGCAGAUGAAGAUUUGUACCAUGCAUUGAUAAAAUGCACGCAUGCAAAGAUGUUUUGGAGGGAAGCGAGGGAGUGGUUGAGCAUUAAGCUACUGGAACUUCACCCCUCCACUUGGUCGAAGGACAUGUGA